rnacentral:lncRNA from 1 species
GCGCAUCUGUAUUCUUAAAAAGAGGAACUAAACAUAAACAAGUAUGAACGAAUUAAGGUAGAGUAAUCCUCACGUGCAAGAGACACUGGAUAUAUGUUCUAUAUUUAUUAGAUCCUGUUGAAAUCCAAGGGGUGUGGCCCUCAGUGGGUAGAAACGGUUGGGGUUGGUUGGAAAACUGACAACAGGAUCCGAAAGAAGUGUGUUAGAUACUCUAAAAGACACACUCAAAUGACCUCAUUAACCUCCAACUGUACCUAAAAUGACCAUGUCAAGAAAACCACUCGGCGGCCCUUCUCCC